UGGGAGGUGGUGUAACGGUAGCACAAUGGGUUCUGGAUCCAUUAAUCCUGGUUCGAAUCCAGGCCUCCCAGCCA
rnacentral:tRNA from 1 species